GACGAACGCUGGCGGCGUGCUUAACACAUGCAAGUCGAGCGGUAAGGCCCUUUCGGGGGUACGACGAGCGGCGAACGGGUGAGUAACACGUGGGUGACCUGCCCUCAGCUCUGGGAUAAGCCUGGGAAACCGGGUCUAAUACCGGAUAUGACUCCAUGACGCAUGUUGUGGGGUGGAAAGCCUUGUGCGGCUGAGGAUGGGCCCGCGGCCUAUCAGCUUGUUGGUGGGGUGAUGGCCUACCGAGGCGACGACGGGUAGCCGGCCUGAGAGGGCGACCGGCCACACUGGGACUGAGACACGGCCCAGACUCCUACGGGAGGCAGCAGUGGGGAAUCUUGCGCAAUGGGCGAAAGCCUGACGCAGCGACGCCGCGUGAGGGAUGAC
rnacentral:rRNA from 1 species